AACGAACGCUGGCGGCAGGCUUAACACAUGCAAGUCGAGCGCCCCGCAAGGGGAGCGGCAGACGGGUGAGUAACACGUGGGAAUCUACCCAUCCCUACGGAACAACUCCGGGAAACUGGAGCUAAUACCGUAUACGCCCUUUGGGGGAAAGAUUUAUCGGGGAUGGAUGAGCCCGCGUUGGAUUAGCUAGUUGGUGGGGUAAAGGCCUACCAAGGCGACGAUCCAUAGCUGGUCUGAGAGGAUGAUCAGCCACAUUGGGACUGAGACACGGCCCAAACUCCUACGGGAGGCAGCAGUGGGGAAUAUUGGACAAUGGGCGCAAGCCUGAUCCAGCCAUGCCGCGUGAAUGAUGAAGGCCUUAGGGUUGUAAAGUUCUUUCACCGAUGAAGAUAAUGACGGUAGUCGGAGAAGAAGCCCCGGCUAACUUCGUGCCAGCCGCCGCGGUAACAC
rnacentral:rRNA from 1 species